rnacentral:rRNA from 1 species
GAUGAACGCUGGCGGCGUGCCUAAUACAUGCAAGUCGAGCGAACGGACGAGAAGCUUGCUUCUCUGAUGUUAGCGGCGGACGGGUGAGUAACACGUGGAUAACCUACCUAUAAGACUGGGAUAACUUCGGGAAACCGGAGCUAAUACCGGAUAAUAUUUUGAACCGCAUGGUUCAAAAGUGAAAGACGGUCUUGCUGUCACUUAUAGAUGGAUCCGCGCUGCAUUAGCUAGUUGGUAAGGUAACGGCUUACCAAGGCAACGAUGCAUAGCCGACCUGAGAGGGUGAUCGGCCACACUGGAACUGAGACACGGUCCAGACUCCUACGGGAGGCAGCAGUAGGGAAUCUUCCGCAAUGGGCGAAAGCCUGACGGAGCAACGCCGCGUGAGUGAUGAAGGUCUUCGGAUCGUAAAACUCUGUUAUUAGGGAAGAACAUAUGUGUAAGUAACUCUGCACAUCUUGACGGUACCUAAACAGAAAGCCACGGCUAACUACGUG